rnacentral:rRNA from 1 species
AUAUUGGACACUGUAGGCAACCCUGAAACAGCCAUGCAGCGUGUGUGAAGAAGGUCUUCGGAUCUUAAAGCACUUUAUGUUGGGAGGAAGGGCUUUAGGUUAAUAUUCUGACGUUAUGACGUCUUCAAUAGCAUAAGCACCGGCCAACUCUGUGCCAGCAGCCGCGGUAAUACAGAUGGUGCAAGCGUUAAUCGGAAUUACUGGCCGUAAAGCGCGCGUAGGUGGUUCAGUAAGAUGAGUGAGAAAUCCGAGGGCUUAACCUGGGAACUGCUUUCAUAACUGCUGAGCUAGAGUACGGUAGAGGGUAGUGGAAUUUCCUGUGUAGCGGUGAAAUGCGUAGAUAUAGGAAGGAACACCAGUGGCGAAGGCGACUACCUGGACUGAUACUGACACUGAGGUGCGAAAGCGUAGGGAGCAAAC